GCAGGAAAUGACAUUUCCGGGUUCAAAUUUCAAAAAUUUUCUAGGGGAGUACACCCCCAGAUCCCCCCAUUCAUGCGUGAUAUAUUUGCCACACACGUGGCUUUCAGCCAUUGCUAUCCCCCUCUAAUAUGUUAUCUCACAGAAAGGUCCCUUUUCAAAAAAUGCCCCCCCCCCACGGGAAAAUCCUAAAAAAGGCCCUGAUCCACACUGCAUUUAUUUGAAGUUACAUGACAAUAUACGACGAACUGCUUUUGGCUAUCGUAUAUACCGCACGACUUUAUUAAGAAAAUAGAAUUUUGUUUUCAAAUUAGUCUUUGUAUGUAGGCAUUUGUGUCUCGCCUUUUGAAUUCGUUUGUGUAUUUGCUGUGUUGGUGCGGUUGGUGUAAUGUACUGAGGUGAAUAAGAUGUUUGUGCGAUGUUACUCUGAGUGUAUAUCCACACCGGGCAGGCUGGAAAAAUAUGCCUGGCCACGGUGGG